UACGAAGGGGGCUAGCGUUGUUCGGAAUUACUGGGCGUAAAGCGUGCGCAGGCGGCUGCUCAAGUCAGGGGUGAAAGCCCAGAGCUCAACUCUGGAAUUGCCUUUGAGACUGAGUGGCUUGAGUACGGGAGAGGUGAGUGGAAUUCCCAGUGUAGAGGUGAAAUUCGUAGAUAUUGGGAAGAACACCGGUGGCGAAGGCGACUGACUGGACAAGUAUUGACGCUGAGGUACGAAAGCGUGGGGAGCAAACAGG
rnacentral:rRNA from 1 species